GGGACAUUAAAUAAAUUUUAGCAAAAUUAAGGGACCUCAUAGUAAUUUACUCUAUUAGGUAUUACUUGUUGGCUUCGCCUGAUGCUUGUGGUCGUUUGACUUCACAAAUUCUAAACCUAAGCCGGCCAGGCUCUGAAAACGAGUCUUCAUUAUAUUUCUCUCAUUCUCUCUCGAAUUAAACCUAGUGUUGAACUCAUGGAUCCUCAACCUGAGCCAGUCAGCUACAUCUGUGGAGAUUGUGGCAUGGAGAACACCUUGAAGCCUGGAGAUGUCAUUCAGUGCAGAGAGUGCGGUUACCGUAUUCUCUACAAGAAACGCACUCGCCGAAUUAUUCAGUAUGAGGCACGCUAAAAGCAGGACAAGAUGCAGAGUUUGCAUACGGGGCUUUGUAACAAGAUGCAGACUUUGUAUACAGAGCUUUGUAUUGAAGCAUGCUUUGUCUGAGUGCAGCUAGCAGUUAUAUCUGGGUUUCUGUAAUUUUUAAGAGAUUUAUGUUGAAACUAUCAAUAUGACUGGUUGGUAUAAUUCUCUAUUCUAUAACUAAAAGAGCCAGUGUUGGAUAAUGCAAUUUUGUGUGUGUGGCAUCUCUGAACAA
rnacentral:misc_RNA from 1 species